UUAUGCUCCUCCUCAGGUUUUCGACCGUCCUGAGUUCAAAAGUGAUGUUCGUUUUACCGUCUAAUCUCUCGUUUAUUGUGAAAUGACUAUAAUGCCCCUAAAAUACAUAAAUUACUUAAUUAAAAUAACACACACGUAAUUACAUCACAAGAAGGUUAAAUACAUAAAAGUAAGGGUUGUUAGUAAGACUUGAAAUGUAAAAUGACGGUUUUCUCCUUUAUAAAUAUGCAUUUUCU
rnacentral:lncRNA from 1 species